rnacentral:rRNA from 1 species
UACGUAGGGGGCAAGCGUUGUCCGGAAUCAUUGGGCGUAAAGAGCGUGUAGGCGGCUCGGUAAGUCCGCUCUGAAAGCCCGGGGGCUCAACCCCGGGAGGCGGGCGGAUACUGUCGGGCUAGAGUCCGGAAGAGGCGAGUGGAAUUCCUGGUGUAGCGGUGGAAUGCGCAGAUAUCAGGAGGAACACCGAUAGCGAAGGCAGCUCGCUGGGACGGUACUGACGCUGAGGCGCGAAAGCGUGGGGAGCGAACAGG